rnacentral:rRNA from 1 species
GAUGAACGCUGGCGGCGUGCCUAAUACAUGCAAGUAGAACGCUGAAGGAGGAGCUUGCUCUUCUGGAUGAGUUGCGAACGGGUGAGUAACGCGUAGGUAACCUGCCUGGUAGCGGGGGAUAACUAUUGGAAACGAUAGCUAAUACCGCAUGACAACAGUUAUUGCAUGAUAACUGUUUAAAAGGGGCAACUGCUCCACUACCAGAUGGACCUGCGUUGUAUUAGCUAGUUGGUGAGGUAACGGCUCACCAAGGCGACGAUACAUAGCCGACCUGAGAGGGUGAUCGGCCACGCUGGGACGGAGACACGGCCCAGACUCCUACGGGAGGCAGCAGUAGGGAACCUUCGGCAAUGGACGGAAGUCUGACCGAGCAACGCCGCGUGAGUGAAGAAGGUUUUCGGAUCGUAAAGCUCUGUUGUAAGAGAAGAACGAGUGUGAGAGUGGAAAGUUCACACUGUGACGGUAUCUUACCAGAAAGGGACGGCUAACUACGUG